rnacentral:misc_RNA from 1 species
UAGUUGAGUUGAGUUGAGUUUUUUUCCUUAUGAUCUGAUCCAGAUGCACAAUUAUUAGUCCUGCAAUGCAAACUCCUAUGUAUGAUGCUUGGAGAAUCUAGGUUGCUAUUAGGUAAAUGAUCAUUUUGACAAUUUCAAGCAGUGCAUUCAUCAGAAUUGUUCUUGGGACGCAUUUUUAAUGAAAUGGUCUUGUAAAUUAUUAAACUUUUUCAUUGAUCGUUAACUUCUGUUAGUGGUUUUCUUCUUUGUGGAGGUAUGUCAAAGAUGGAUGCUUUGGUGUUAAUCUUAUUAUUAGGGCCUUACCAAAGAGAAAUAUAGUGACGGCAGUAAAAAAAAAUCAUUUUCCUUGGGAAGUGUUAUAGAAGACUGUUGAGCUUUCUAAGAUGGUUUGUUUUGAAGGAAGAAAGAUAGGAUAGGACUUCUAACAGCUGAUAAUUUCCAAAUGGUGGGGAAUAUCCUGGUCAACAGAUGCUUAUUUUGUGAGAGGAUACUGAACGUCUUUUAUUGCAUUGUUUUUGCGCGACAGAACUGCAAGAGUUUGUGUGCUGUCAUAUGAGUAUAGUUUUGGUUGGUUUUGUUGUUUUUGGUUUUGGG